rnacentral:rRNA from 1 species
GACGAACGCUGGCGGCGUGCUUAACACAUGCAAGUCGAGCGGUAAGGCCCUUCGGGGUACGACGAGCGGCGAACGGGUGAGUAACACGUGGGUGACCUGCCCUUAGCUCUGGGAUAAGCCUGGGAAACUGGGUCUAAUACCGGAUAUGACCUCAUGACGCAUGUUGUGGGGUGGAAAGCCUUGUGCGGCUAGGGAUGGGCCCGCGGCCUAUCAGCUUGUUGGUGGGGUGAUGGCCUACCAAGGCGACGACGGGUAGCCGGCCUGAGAGGGCGACCGGCCACACUGGGACUGAGACACGGCCCAGACUCCUACGGGAGGCAGCAGUGGGGAAUCUUGCGCAAUGGGCGAAAGCCUGACGCAGCGACGCCGCGUGAGGGAUGACGGCCUGGUUGUAACC